rnacentral:rRNA from 1 species
GACGAACGCUGGCGGCGUGCCUAACACAUGCAAGUCAACUUGACUGAAGGAGCAAUCUGACAGUAGAGUGGCGCAAGGGUGCGUAACGCGUAAGUAACUUGCCCAAGGUAAGGAAUAACGUCGAGAAAUCGGCGCUAAUACCUCAUAAUGCAGCGGAUCCGCAUGGAUAUGUUGUUAAAGGUUUACCGCCUUGGGAUAGGCUUGCGUCUGAUUAGCUAGUUGGUGUGGUAACGGCACACCAAGGCUACGAUCAGUAACUGGUCUGAGAGGAUGAUCAGUCACACUGGAACUGAGACACGGUCCAGACUCCUACGGGAGGCAGCAGUGAGGAAUAUUGGGCAAUGCUCGAAAGAGUGACCCAGCAACGCCGCGUGGAGGAUGAAGGUAUUCUAUAUCGUAAACUCCUGUGAGAGCAGACGAAAGACAGAUUAUAAUCUGGAUGACUGUAUGCUCAGAGGAAG